UUCCAUGUGCCUGCACAUGAUGAAAACUAUGUUGGUAGGGACAUCUGAGAGGGUGAUGAAUACCAACAUAUCUGAGCUGGGCAUGGAAUAGUGUGUAUCUGGCAUGGCUGAAACACCACGCGGUCCUUUCUGGGCAGCCAAACGGAGUUUAAGAUGGCACCAACUACACUCUUCCCUCUUAUGGCUCUGAAACAGACCUGUCACCGAAUAUGGAGACUUGAUGCUACUUCACAAGGAUUUGAAUUGUACACUUGCAAGACUUGCAGAAGAAACAUCACCUGGCACUGGGAGAUGAAGCUAUAAGCAUGCAAGGCUGCCCUAGACAGAGGAUACCUGUGCCUCCAGUGUGAGAAGCUAUUUCCCCUGUUACUGAUGCUGGUGAAGAUGAGGCCUUCUUAAUUGAAGGCUUCCAAUGUGUUUCUCAUUGUGAUGGCUGGUGCGGUGGAGCUGUGAAGUGAUCCAGUUGGUGGUGCUACCAGCAAAAAUCUGAGAAUUUGAGAACUGCUGGAUACUUUGUGACAGAUGGUUCUUUCUUGAAUGAAGCUUGUGGGGAGUUUGUGUGAGGAACAAGACUAACUUACAUCUGAGGAAAGGACUGUGCUGUCUGCAACCUCAUUGGGUGAGGAGGCAACUUUGAAACUACUGUAUGAAGAACUGAGAAGGUGGAAGAUUGCAGAAUAAUGGGUUACACUUGCAUGAACAGCAUUAAAAGAGCCAAGUUUUUUUAACAAUACUGGUAAUGUUUGCCUGAUACUGAUUGGAACCAAUAAAAAUUUGUAAACUCUACCUGUUGUUGUGAACUGCUUUCUGACUUGAACAGCUUGCUGUAAAACAGCUCUAGGCUACUUUAGAAAAGUUUCAGAUGCUUGAUUUAGAGCAGGGACUAAACUAGUUUAAAUGCUAGUCCUGCAAGUGUCUUAACUUAGGUGUCAGGUAUUGCUAGUGUGCAGACUGCAGUUGACCUGACCAAUACCAAGAUUUGGACAAAGCUAAAUAAUUGAAGUAGUAAUUAGUGUUUUGUAGGUGAGAGC